UGAUGGGCGCACAACGACGGUUCUGAGCUGGCUGCGCCGUGUAUCUUGUAACAAACGCGUAUUUUUGUGCUUAAUGCGAGCGAUAAGUACGCCGAGGUGAGAUCAAAGUCGUCUACAAAACGUACGAGGAUUCUACAAAAUGUCGUCUGCACAAGUGGAUCGUCCUACUAAGGUGGGCCAUAUCAAUAAGAAAGAAAAUGAGAAAUCAAGGAAAACAUUCAACCCUUCCCAUAAGAAGCACAAGCACGAAGAUAGCCGUCAUUUUAAGUUUGGUCGCAAACGUCUACAGAGUUUCUCCAGCAAUAGUAAAUUCUUUCCUCCCUACAAGCGCAGAAAGAAGGAAGGUGCCAUUAUCCCACCGACAAAGUUUUUACUUGGUGGUAAUAUAUGCGAUCCAUUGAAUUUGAACAGCAUGCAAGACGAAGAAAUAAAUAGAGCCAUGAAUGCUGUUACGCCUAAAUCCAGUCCCCUUCCUACACCUAAGCACAAGAAAGAGGUUAUUGAAGUCAUUAUACCACCAAAUAUUUGCGAUCCUUUGAAUUUAAACAACUGUAACGAGAACGACAACGACGAAUACGAGAAGCAACUUAUUUCCCCCACGAAGAAAGGUUCUAAACGUAGAAACAGAAAGAAAAAACGAGUGUCGUCAGGUUCUGGAAAAGACGAUGGAAGUGAUCCAGCUGAAACCAAAACUAAAGAUUGCGUUGUAACUGUCGUUAUGGAACCUAUGGAACAGAGUAACCCAGAAAAUGUAGAGACGGAACAACAAUGCGUACCAUUGAACUCACCACCAGUUACUCAACUUAAGGAACCCAAACCGGAAAGCCCACAAAAGGAUAAAAAUAAAUUACGUUUGAAAGGUUUAGAAGAAUCUAAGGAUAAGAGGUUACGGAAAAUUGAUAACAAAGAUAAAAUUGUAAGCCCCGUCAUUCCUCAACCUGGAGCUUGGAAGCCUAGGCCACAGCAUCGGCCCAGUCAGGAUAAGAAAAAAAAGCAAGCGAUGCCGAAUUUCAGAGAGAAAGAUGCACGUUAUCAAUAUGGCAACUACAAUAGGUACUAUGGGUAUCGUAAUUCUCAGCAAGAAUUGGACACAAGACUGACAGUAUUUGCGCAACGCAAAGAAUUAUUUAUUAGAAAAGAUGUACUUGACAUUGGGUGCAAUAUCGGCCACAUUACUCUGUCUGUUGCAAGAGACUUUUCUGCUGACAGUGUAACCGGUAUCGACAUUGAUCGUUCGCUCAUUCAGAUUGCUCGAAAGAACGUGAGACGCUACGUUAACUGUGUACAGUCUCCUGCUGGUAACAGAGAUAGCGAUCACCAAGAUGCAAGUUUCUUCCCAAUAUCUAUGCCAAUCAAUUAUGGACCGAUUGAUAUACCAGGUUUGACAAAAAAUAAAAAUCAUAAGGGUUUUCCCUACAACGUUACCUUUGUGCAGGGUAAUUAUGUGCUCGAGGACGAUGCUCUUUUGUGUACGGAACAACCACAGUUUGACACGAUUUUGUGUUUGUCGAUCACCAAGUGGAUACACUUAAAUUUCGGAGACGCGGGUCUCAAACAGGCUUUCAAACGUAUGUAUGCGCAGCUACGUCCAGGCGGAGUCUUAGUAUUGGAACCUCAGGGUUGGAGUAGUUAUGCCAGAAAAAAGAAUCUUACGGAACGAAUAUAUAAAAAUUAUAAGAGUAUCGACUUUCGUCCGCACAACUUUACGCAGUAUUUGUUGUCUACCGAAGUUGGUUUUUCCAAAUGCGAAGUGCUCUCUAUUCCUCCACACCCGUCGAAAGGCUUUCAACGACCGAUUCACUUGUUUACCAAAGCUGGACCGUUGCAAGAAAGUGCGGGCAAUUCUGGCGCGAGUACGUCAAAUCGACAAGAGAGAACGGACGAAGUGAGGAGAAAAAUAGAGCGCAGACAGUACGAGGACAAACUGUUCCAAAAGGAUGAGAGCAAGGAAGGAAAUUUGUCAGAGAUCAGUCAGCAGAGCAUUGAGAGCAUGAGUCAAUACGAGCAACUGGAGAACGUUUACGCACCUAGCACGACUCCGUGUUACGACACGCCUGGACACAACAACGAUAAUCAGCCGCUGGAUGCGUCGAAAAUGUGUUACGUGGAUGUCAACAUCGAGGUCGAGAAAAUGGAAUCAAAGAGUCUGGACGCCUCGGAUAAACAGAGCAAUCAACGAAGCAACGAGUCGACGUCGCGGAAACGAAGCAUGGACACAGUGGCGGAUGACGCAUGCAAUACAGAUGCGAAAAGGGUGAAAAGAUUGAACGAAAUAUCUGCAUCGAAAACGGUCAGGAACGAGAAAGGAAGAACGGAGAAAGCCAAGACGAAGGAAACGCCUCGUGGUUCGAUUUCUGUGAACGAAAGUGAAACAAGAUUGGAGGAGGAGCAGCUAAGAAACGAGAAGGAUUUGAGUAACGUCGUUGAAAAGAAGUCGAGUUCCGUAGACACCGCGAAGGACGAAUCAAACUCGAGGACCGAGGCGCAGGGAGAACAGAAAAACAGAUCGAGGAGUCCGUGCAAAACAGAGGAAACAGAGACGCAACGUUGCAAACUGACCUCGGACAACACGUAAACAGUUAUUCUCGACGCUCUCUGCGUAGAAAACAAGCGGUGCUAUCAUACAGACUCGUGCUGUUUGGUUAUCCAAUUACUUGGCCAACCUUUUCUGUUCUUUCUUUUUAUCUGCCCUUCCAUUCGCUGAUUUUCACGUAAACAUCCCAAGAAUCGAUUGCUUUCUUUCCGUACGAGGGGCGAGGAGAGAUCCAUUCGCGACAAGAAUCGUUUAGAAAUCUCGGCAGUAGACGCGAAUUAUUGCGAUAGAGGAACGUUGUAAGUGAUUUUGGCGACGACGAGGACGAUAGACGAACCAAGAGACUCGAUAAGUUUUUCAUCGUGUACACGAAUGGACGAAAGAAAUAUUCUAUUCGCGAGGUUUCCUCGCCUUUUUUUUUAGAUUUCGAUUACAGUUCCGCAGUUCCGUUUAUUCGUUUCGUUUCUUUAUUGUUUUCUUUUUUAAGGACUUUUAGUUACUCCCAGUUAUGCUGAGUAAAUGGAUAGACGUCUCUUUAGAAUACCUGGUGAGAGUUUCAGUGUAUUUGUAUUGGCACGUCUGAAAUCGAUCUCGGGUAAAAGGGAGACCGUAAUCGGAAUAAAAUCAAGUGGUCUCCUGCCAGCGCUCGCUCUAUGUCUCUCGAAUGCAGUAGACGAUGGGAACAUUGAACAAAGUGGAAAGAUGAAGCGGAGUGGGGGUUCGGAGGACAUGGAGGUGUUCUCGAUUGACCAAUAUAUUCUGCCACGAGUUGCAGAGAAGAUUGGAGAGGAGGGGGUAUCUGUAUGGAAUUGGGGGGAUGAUCCUUGGAUGACUUUGAGCGGCUGGUUGAGGUUAGUCCGACUACUUGUGUUACGUGUGAUGCAACGUGAUACUCCGUUGGAGAUACGAAUCGCUUUACAUAAAUGAUAAAGUUUAUUUUCGUUGUUUUUAGUACUCGAUAAGAACUUUUAAUGAGAAUAAUAUUUUGCACGGCUGUAAGAAUAAAAUCUCACUACUUUAUCGUGCUACGUUUCGAUUAUAGUAGUUGGUCCUUAAAAUUAAAUGUCGUUGGUGACUGGUACGAGUUAAACAUAACGGAGGAAUUAAUAAUAGAAACUUGCAAUAAUGAUAGCCUAGCGACUUUUAAUAAAUGACAUUUGUAUCGUGGAUCAAAUCAACGCGUUUCGUGAUGGACCUAUUUUUUUGUGUCCUUCGGAUCACGCCGCGUGGGUCGUAUACGCCUCACGCAUCGAGAGUAACAGUUUUAGUUAUGCCAUGUGACUUAUGGUAUUUAUAAAACUGCAAAAAUCAUUAUGAAGACACGGGUGUAACGUUCAAGAUUCGCUAUAGAAUAAAGCAAAAAUUUGAAAGUCGAGGAAAGAAGAAUAUUUUGAUUUAAUAUAAAUUACACUUUUUACUUCUAAUAUUUUAAGACGUAGUUAACAUUUUUGUAAAUUUGUAUCGUACCGCCAAUUAUAUCUUUAGUCUCAAGGUUUCCGCUUGAAAACGACUAACCGUCAUAAUUUAAACGUUGCACGUUAAACAAGCUUUGUUUUUGCAACCAUAGAAAAUAUUAUUUUUAUACGAAUCGUUUUAUACAGCACGAAUAUGGCGUCGGCAAGUAUUCAUAGCGCUGCGGUGAAACGAAGGGCAUGAGCGAAACAAAUUCUAAGUACCGUGCCUAAUCGAAAACAUUUUGCAUUUUAUGCUGCAGCACGCCCAUGCCCCCGUCCCCCCUAUCCGAGUAUAUUUAACGAGUUAGUCGACGAAAGACUGACUUCGUUUUUGGCUUCACCGUGUCUUUCGAUGUAAAAAGGAAAAAAAAAACGAUGAAAAGAAGAGGAGCAAGGGGCGCGCGAGAAACGACGCCAACAGAGCGAAGACGAACAAUUCAGGUUGUGCUUCGGAAAACUCGAAAACUGAUUUGUGCUCGCGGUCGUGUAAUCGUUGCCAUACUCGUCUUUUCUGUACAGAAGAAGCGCAGCGAGAGACGGCCAGCACUCGACAGUUCAUUUCGUGACUCAUUCUGUGUUGGAUGUAGAAAGAAAACGGAAACGAAAUAGAAACGCAGCAAUGCCUUAAACGAUGCGCCGUCGCGUUGAAAGUCGACGAUGAACACCUUUCAAGGCUCGACUCCGACUGUGUUCAGGAAUCAGCGGUUGUUUUUGUUUUUUUUUGUCGGGGAAACACGCCGUGAGUGCAGCUUAUUUUGCAGUGAUCCGGAAACAAUUAGAGAGAUUGAGUGAGAAACGGAAAUCGUGAAAAGCCGAGAUCCCAGAGUUGGUUUGCGACGAAACAACCCGGACGAGAUGUCAGACUUGCCCGAAAGUAUUAUUGUAUCGUGGAACAUUACUCGUUGCGCAGUUGUGGCUCGUGCGUACGAGGACCGAGAGCAUCUUUGACGAUAGAUUUACGGAAACGAUCGCACAUAUUUCUUAUUCAAACGUCGACGGUUCCUUUAAUUAUUAUAUUAUAUUGAUUCAGUGUUUUUACAUUUUCGUAUCGAUUUUAAUACGGUCCUUAAUUCUUCUGAAUCCGUAUUCUUUUAAAGUGGAACAUAUUUUCAUAUCGUUGCAUCGAUUAAAUACAACAAGAAUUACUAACGAAUAAUAUUUGUAGGUUCUUCUGCGACUUUAAAUAUGGAAUGUGAGAUCCGUAAAUCUAGCGUUGAACGAUUGUGCGAAAAGUUCCUCGGAGAGUGACGAUAACGAAAGAAUAGAGAGGAGGGAAAGAAAAUGGCGUAAGCUUCUGGAAAGCGCGCGUACAGACGGCUUUCCUCAUCGUAUUAUCUAGUCUGUGUGCAUCACGGAGAAAGAAUGGAAUGAUCAUGGCGACGGUCGCGCUCGUUUGCUCGACCGAGCAUGGGGAAUUUUUUUUCUCGAUUCAGAAUUCUACCUUACUCCCGGGAAACGUUUCCGUUUUAGCGUGUAUCGUGCGUAAUUUUUUGCGUUUACAGCGAGUCCUCCGUUCACGCGAUUCGUUUUUGGAGAUUUUUGCGCAAAUUGUACAGGAUGGUGUAAAAAUCGCGACCGGUUUUACUUAUUGAUGAAAAUUCAUAGUAAAUUUGACCGCUCUCUUUCGAGUAAAUAAUUUUCGAAAUAAAAUUCAAUAAUUUUACUGUAUAAAUUUUUCGCGAUUACAAAUAUUUCCAACCUUUUCGCACCACUCUGUACGAAUACGAUAUAUUGCUGAGAGAAAGAAAGAUCAAACUCAGGUUAACGCAUUGAAUAUCCGUACCUAGAAUCAUGAAUGCAACUCAAAUAAUAGCAAUAAAUAUUCUACCGUCUUUUUUAAGUACUAUACAUAAUCUUGUGAUGUAGUUACAUAUUUUAGAUUUAACAAAUCUUUCAGAUUACGGGUACGUGCGAUAUUCGUUCUGUAUUCAGACAAUCUAAUGUUUUCGGUUCUCAUGCACUGUUUUUACGUUUGAUCCGAUACUAUAACAAUUGCUACCAACAUUGAUCUUUCUUUCCCUUUACAGCAAUUUUACUGAUCUCUGUAAAAGUAAAUUAUUGUUAAACAGAUUUACGUGUACUCCCAUAUAAAAAGACAAAUUACAAACGGUAUUCAAUAUGUAAAUACAUAUAAAAUAUGUACAAGUACAUAAAUGGGAAUGUAAUUAAGUAACUCGAGGACUCGCUAUACUUCUUUGUACGCCUUUGUUAUUAUGCUGCGACAAAAUUAGCGGACUAUCGGUUUACGACGCGAUUAGGCGCGCCAGAAGUCGACUAAGAAUCGAAGAAAACAUGAUAAGAGACCCUGUUUGGCCGCGAUACUCGAGUUAGUGUUCUUUUUCAACGGCCACCGACGCGGCACAAUAACGUUUAAAAGACUGUUUCAGUAUUCGUGGCUUUUCUUUGUCAUCUGAGCCCGUUUCUUCGUUUGGAUCGUCGCGCACGGCAAACGUCGAACCGAAAAUACGACCCGACGCGUUUCGAGGAAAGAGAAUUAGGUUUUAAAGGUUUCAGAGCGACGACGGAAUAGCACAAAUCGACUCCGGGCGCGAUCACUUUUUCACGUUGUGUUUUUGAGAGAACGAGAACAAGAUGAACCACUUAGACGCUUACCAGGAACACUCAUAGUGUAAAAAUCAGAUUAAUAAUAAAGAAUUGCUUUGAGUCACCAAUUUGUGUUUUGCAUUUAUCAGGCUGCCUACGCGUCGCGAACCCAUGGAAACAAUUAUGCGUAUGUAGAUGAAUUGCGUGGACUUGUAAAAAUAACAAGGCUUAAUGAUGUCCGUUCGUUCGAAGAAACCGUCCUUUCGCCGGUUCCAGAAAGUCAGGUGUCCUCGACCAUGCGUUAUUAAAAGAUUAUCGUCGAGGGGGUGGAACGCAGCACCGGUCAAGUCUUCUUGCAUAGUCUGUCAUAGAAAAAAUAGUAUACUUUAGAAUCGUUUCGAUUCUUUAGUGGAAAA